rnacentral:rRNA from 1 species
UACGGGGGGGGCAAGCGUUGUUCGGAAUUAUUGGGCGUAAAGGGCUCGUAGGCGGCCAACUAAGUCGGAUGUGAAAUCCCCAGGCUUAACCUGGGAACUGCAUCCGAUACUGGAUGGCUUGAAUCCGGGAGAGGGAUGCAGAAUUCCAGGUGUAGCGGUGAAAUGCGUAGAUAUCUGGAGGAAUACCGGUGGCGAAGGCGGCAUCCUGGACCGGCAUUGACGCUGAUGAGCGAAAGCUAGGGGAGCAAACGGG